rnacentral:lncRNA from 1 species
GAUGGAGAGAAUGGCUGAUCUCAUAUACCAUUUGUAUAAGACACUAAUAUAAGAAAGUGGGUGCUCAUUAGAGAAUGAGUUCAUUGAAUUGAUCUGACUUAAGAAACAUCUUAUGGAUUCUACUUACUCGUCAAAAGAUAUUUUCUUAUAGUGGGAGUUGUGCAUAUAAUCCUUUAACCUAAGACUACAAUAGAACCUUGUAUACAUGAAUCCAUAUUUUUGGUUCAUACUCAUUCAUGACUUGUUAUGUAUGGGGUAUUCUGGAUAUGGUAGAAUGUGUAUGGAGAUUGUGAGUAGGUCAACAUGGAAUCGAUUACUCCUGGUAAGAGGAGAUCGCAUCCUACUUGCUCUGAUCGAUUGAUGAUUCAAGAAGCCUUUGAUCCAAGCAAAAUGAAAAUUAGAAAGAGUU